UGUAUAUACUGAGCGCCUGGACAUUAAUUGUUGACGAGGUUAGAGUUUAUCGAAAGAUUCGGCGGAUGACUCUAUGGCAUGCGCUACUGUCAUUACAUAUUAGCAAAAAAUUAUAGUGAUAUAAUAUAACAAAUCUAAUAUACGUACGCUU
rnacentral:ncRNA from 2 species